GCCUCUUUAGCUCAGAGGUUAGAGCACUGGUCUCGUAAACCAGGGGUCGUGAGUUCGAUUCUCACAAGAGGCA